rnacentral:lncRNA from 1 species
UUAAACUAUAAUAAGUUAUUUCAGAAAGGACAAAGUUGAAGACCAAAAAAUAAAGAUGAUAAGGAACUGUAGUGACGGUCCUUAAAAACUCUGAUGUACAACCUCAUGCAUGUAAGAUCUCGACGUUCUUAUGUAAGAUCUCGAAGUUCUUGAAUGCUUCCACCCAACUCUAAAACACAACCGACAAACACUACUACCA